GCUUUCAACAUCCCCGUCUCAGAGGCGAAUUGACGGUAUCGGCACCAGGCCGAUGGCAGACGACCUCAUGAGACUGAAGGC
rnacentral:sRNA from 12 species